rnacentral:rRNA from 1 species
GACGUAGGGCGCGAGCGUUGUCCGGAUUUAUUGGGCGUAAAGAGCUCGUAGGCGGCUCGUUGCGUCGGCUGUGAAAACCCGCGGCUUAACCGUGGGCCUGCAGCCGAUACGGGCGGGCUGGAGUUCGGUAGGGGAGACUGGAAUUCCUGGUGUAGCGGUGAAAUGCGCAGAUAUCAGGAGGAACACCGGUGGCGAAGGCGGGUCUCUGGGACGUAACUGACGCUGAGACGCGAAAGCGUGGGGAGCAAACAGG